UUCCUUUUCAGAUUGAUAACACGUUAAUACAGAGAUUAUAGUAUCAGCUAAACAUCAUUAAAUCAAUAAAAGAGGAAUUAGGGUAAAGUUUGGUGACUAUUGACCUUACGUGAACGAGCCUUCUCCCUCCUUCAUGUUCAAAUCGACGACGACGGCGCACGGAAACGGCACCGGAGCUUCACUCCUCUGUUCAAUACUUCCGAUCAAGCAAAGGUGUACUCACGUCAUUCAUCUCUCCGAGCUCAUCUCUCUCGAUAUUAGCCGUGAACAAUCGAAGCAAAUCCACAUCGCCUUUCAUCUCAAGUCUCUCCGAUGCGUUUCAUCUCCGUCGAGAUCUUUCUCCGCCGUGAUGAACACAACGACAACGGCCUCUUCUCCGCCUCACUAUAGCUUCCUCUCCGACCAUGGCGGCGUUGUUAUUUCUCUUCGAAAAAAGGUUCGAUGAAGAUGUAAAUGAAUCGGAAAUGUGAUGAUUGGAACGUUGAUGACGAUGAGGCUGAUUCAAGAUGAUGAUGAACGUUGUUGAUGAACAGCGACGGUGAUGAUUGAAUUAAGGUGUGGAGAAGAUGAAGAAAGAAGAGUGGUGCUGAUUGUGGAGAUGAAGAUCCGAAUCGAUUACGAGAAAAGGAUUUUGUUGAAGUUUCAUUGCCGUUUGUUGAUGAUGCUAUUGAAGGAUUGAAUACGGUUAUGGUGAGUUCAUGAUGAAGCGAUGAUGAACGUGAAUUGGUGAAGAUUCAAGAUGAUCGGUUAUGGUGGUGAUUCUUCAGAUGUUGAAGAUUGAUAGCAAGGUUGAUGAUUAUGACUGAAGGUUGAAGAAUUGAAUGGAGAAUGAUGAAGGUUCCAAGCGUGAAUUCAGAGAGAGAGCUUCGGUUCUUUUUUCAUUAUGCAAGGUCCGGUUUUUUUCUUAUGCAGAAUUGGUUUAUUUUGAAGGUGGGCCCUUGGUGCAUGGGUCAAUUUUUAACUUGAAGCAAGCUGGCUUUUGGAUAUGUAUUUGGAAAUUCUUGAAUACGUAAACACAUGACAUCGGAUUAGAAAAUUAGGAAUAGGUUUAUGAUUUGAUUCUUUUUGUUGUAAUUUGGAAAUGGAAUUUGAAUUGGGAUGUAAUUGUGAACUUGGACUUUGAACAUUUGAACUUUUUGUAAUAGAAUAGACAUGGUAUUAACACUUGAAUUUGAAUAUUGAACUUGAACCUAAUGGUCUAAAAUCCUGACUUUGAAUGAACGAUGUUCGAAUCGAAACUUGAAUGAAUAUUUUUCAAUGAAUAACUUUUGAUCCACUCGCAAACCUCAAUGAACCUCUAAUUCAAUUCAAUUCAUCAAUCUAACUCAAAAUCGUACGAUAAGUCACCAAUAAAUUGAAAGCAUAAUGGCGCCUUGAACACGAUGCUCUCUUUAAGUUCACAACCUUGUACCCUGACUUAUUAUCUUGCAAUCCAUCUCACAGGCCCUUGACUUAAUGUUCUCGAAACAAUAGAAACUCUUUAAUUUUCUCUUGAUUGCUUUUCGAACGACGAAAUAAACGUCGUCCAUAAAUUAUGGCACAAAGAAGAGGGCAAAUUUUGGGGUGCAACAUGCAAUUUAACCUGAUUGGUAUUCAAUGAUAAGAGAUAGAGAU